rnacentral:lncRNA from 1 species
UUUUUUUUUUUUUUUUUUUUUGGCCUUUUUAGGGCAGCACCCUAAAAAGGUUCCCAGGAUAGGAGUCCAAUCAGAGCUGUAGCUGCUGGCCUACACCACAGCUCACAGCAAUGCCAGAUCCUUAACCCACUGAGCAAGGCCAGGGAUCGAACCUGCGUCUUCGUGGAUGCUAGUCGGGUUUGUCCACCACUGAGCCACAACAGGAACUCCCAUGCUGCCUUUCUAUAAUACUUUUUGAAAUGGAUGGUUGAAAGAGGAAAGGGAGUUGAUUUUAAUAAAACAUAUCCCAUUUCCAAAAAGUAGUUUGUAAAUGUUUUAGCUCAUCUGUAUUGUCCCUAGAGUGAUGUGCUGCUUUAUCUGCACAACUUUAGCACACAUGCUAUUAAAAAAAGUUUUCUGGUUGAUAAUUAUUAGUGUGCUUGGGGAUUUGGGGACACUAGAAAUUCAUGCUGAACGAGGAAGCACACCCUCUUCCCAUUUCCCUUCUACCUGGAGGACCAACUUCAAUUCUAAUGACCCCACUUAAAAAAAAAAAAAAAAAAAAAAAAAAAACCUCUCUUAAUAAAUAGAGUUCCUGAAAACUUGAGAUCCAGGCUCCAAAAAAGUAUCUGGGUAGAAUGGCUAAUGGAAACUAGCCAUAGGGUAGCCAGAGGCCAGAAAAGAAACCCAGGACAUCUCAAGAGAUCAGAAACACCCAAGCCAUCUUUAAAACAUACUCAGUGACUGUGUUACCCCAGUAAAGAAAUAUUCUUCCUUACUAAUAAUGAAAAAGCAAUAAUACUACAAAUGAAAUAUGAUUGGAUUUACGUUUGUUAAAAGUGGUAAAAUGUAAAGCACUCUAUCGAAAUUCCACUAAGUAGAUGGAGGGGCAAGAGAAAAGCAGAGGAUUAAGAGUUACAAACUGUUACCUGUACAAAAUAAAUAAGCCACACGGAUAUACAGUAGAGUACAGCACAGGGAGGAUAGCCAGUAUUCUAUAAUAAAUAUAAAUGGAAUAUCAUGUAUAAAAAUAUUGAAUCGCUAUGUUAUAGACCUGAAAUAUAAACCUGCAAAUCACUAUACUUCAAUUAAAAAAAAAAAAUUCAUGGAGUUCCCCUAUUGUGGCUCAGCGGGUUAAGAACCCAACAAUAUCCAUGAGGAUGUGGGUUCAAUCCCUAGCUUCAAUCAGUGGGUUAAGGAUCUGGUGCUGCCACAGGCUGUGACAUAUGUGGCAGAUUCAGCUCAGAUGCCCUGUGCUGUGGCUUAGCGUAGGCCAGCAGCUGCAGCUCCAAUUUGACCCCUAACCCAGGAACUUCCACAUGCAGCAGGUGCAGCCCUAAAAAGAAAAAGAAUAAGAAUUAAAAAAAUAAUAAUAAUUUAAAAAUCCACUCAGUAGAAAAGAUGAGAUUGAGGCACUUGCACCCUCUUCCCUCAAAGGAGGAUUUUAAAGGUCCAGAUUUGCCUGAAUUAUUCCCUUCCUUUCCUCUCCUACUUCGAGAAACAGCAACACCAUUAACAGGAGCUUCUCAAAAAAGAAAAUAAAACAUUUUGGCAAAAGUUGGUUGAUGACCACUAAGAUGAAGAGGGGAAGGGUUAGCAGUUCCCCCCCCCAAGACCAACCCCGGGGUUAGUCACUCCUUCUUGCUGCUGAUCUCUUAGCUCUAAAACGAGCCAACAAUCUAAAAACCCAUUAGAGGUAACAACUGAAAUGGAAGCUAAUUUUCAAAACUUAACUCAUCCUGCGCUAUAGCCAUUUCACAAACGAGAAUUUUUAUUUUGUUACAUGGUGUGUGCGCUUACCUAUGACCACUACAUACAAAAAAAUAGGAGAGCAAUGGUAAUGUCAUUGUUUCCAUUUAAAAAAAUAUUAAAUUGUUACCUACUCACUAAAAUAUUAAGUAAAAACCGGAGAAAAUCAACAAUGAGCAUAAAUUACAAUUCUUCCCAGAAGAGUUUAGUAUCUCCUACAGUUUCUAAGCCACAUUAAUAACAGAAAGCAAGCAUUACAUUUCACACUGAAAAUGUAUGGGAACAUUAAAAUCUAUUUUAAACGUGCAACAUCUAUCAAAACCUGAGGGUUCUAGAGCAUUUUCCAGCGACGCUGGUAUUUUCUUUAAACACCUACAAAUUAAAUCGAUCUCAAGAAUAUGUCAGCCUGUUUAAAAAUAGUUGUGGCAAAAAAAGAAGUUAAAAAUCCCAGAAGAAAAUGAAUAUGCUGCUUCAAAGUGGAGGUAAACAAAUUAUAUGUUAAUUCACAGAGAGUAUUUCUAAUUAAACAAAGUGUCUCCUCCCCUCAAAAAGGGCAAAGUUAAAAUUAGAUUGCUUAUUUUAUUCAUGGACGGUCCUAAUUAUAGCAUCUAGCUAUCAGAGUAUCAUGGAUAUUACUUUCAUCAAACUUUGUUUUAAUAUUUAUCUAAGACUGUACAAUGGCCUGAUUCAGAAGAGUUCAAAAACCUCGGAAAUGAGAAACUGAGGGAGUCAUGGUAAUGGAAA